CGUUGCACUAUCGUUAACUGAAUACAUAGGUUAACGAGGCGAACCGGGGGAACUGAAACAUCUAAGUACCCCGAGGAAAAGAAAUCAACCGAGAUUCCCCCAGUAGCGGCGAGCGAACGGGGAGCAGCCCGGAGUCUGAAUCAGCUUGUGUGUUAGUGGAACGGUCUGGAAAGUCCGACGGUACAGGGUGAUAGUCCCGUACACGAAAGCACACAUGCUGUGAACUCGAAGAGUAGGGCGGGACACGUGGUAUCCUGUCUGAAUAUGGGGGGACCAUCCUCCAAGGCUAAAUACUCCUGACUGACCGAUAGUGAACCAGUACCGUGAGGGAAAGGCGAAAAGAACCCCGGCGAGGGGAGUGAAAAAGAACCUGAAACCGUGUACGUACAAGCAGUGGGAGCCUCUUUAUGGGGUGACUGCGUACCUUUUGUAUAAUGGGUCAGCGACUUAUAUUCUGUAGCAAGGUUAACCGUAUAGGGGAGCCGAAGGGAAACCGAGUCUUAACUGGGCGUUAAGUUGCAGGGUAUAGACCCGAAACCCGGUGAUCUAGCCAUGGGCAGGUUGAAGGUUGGGUAACACUAACUGGAGGACCGAACCGACUAAUGUUGAAAAAUUAGCGGAUGACCUGUGGCUGGGGGUGAAAGGCCAAUCAAACCGGGAGAUAGCUGGUUCUCCCCGAAAGCUAUUUAGGUAGCGCCUCGUGAAYUCAUCUUCGGGGGUAGAGCACUGUUUCGGCUAGGGGGCCAUCCCGGCUUACCAACCCGAUGCAAACUACGAAUACCGAAGAAUGUUAUCACGGGAGACACACGGCGGGUGCUAACGUCCGUCGUGAAGAGGGAAACAACCCAGACCGCCAGCUAAGGUCCCAAAGUCAUGGUUAAGUGGGAAACGAUGUGGGAAGGCACAGACAGCCAGGAUGUUGGCUUAGAAGCAGCCAUCAUUUAAAGAAAGCGUAAUAGCUCACUGGUCGAGUCGGCCUGCGCGGAAGAUGUAACGGGGCUAAACCAUGCACCGAAGCUGCGGCAGCGACACUAUGUGUUGUUGGGUAGGGGAGCGUUCUGUAAGCCGUUGAAGGUGUGCUGUGAGGCAUGCUGGAGGUAUCAGAAGUGCGAAUGCUGACAUAAGUAACGAUAAAGCGGGUGAAAAGCCCGCUCGCCGGAAGACCAAGGGUUCCUGUCCAACGUUAAUCGGGGCAGGGUGAGUCGACCCCUAAGGCGAGGCCGAAAGGCGUAGUCGAUGGGAAACAGGUUAAUAUUCCUGUACUUGGUGUUACUGCGAAGGGGGGACGGAGAAGGCUAUGUCAGCCGGGCGACGGUUGUCCCGGUUUAAGCAUGUAGGCGGAGGUUCCAGGUAAAUCCGGUACCUU
rnacentral:rRNA from 1 species